GCCAGGCGAAGUGGCACAUGCCUGUAAUCCCAGCAGCUCAGGAGGCUGAGACAGGAGGAUCUCAGGUUCAAAGCCAGCCUCAGCAAUGGUGAGGUGCUAAGCAACUCAGUGAGACCCUGUCUCUA
rnacentral:sRNA from 1 species